UAUUGAAACACUGGUUCUCAUCUGAUUACUGAAAUUAAGCAACAUUGAGCCAGAUCAAUACCUAGCUAGGUGACUUCUUGGGAAUACCAAGUGCUGUAAG